CUACGGGCUGCACCAGUGAGGAAUAUUGGUCAAUGGACGCGAGUCUGAACCAGCCAUCCCGCGUGCAGGAUGACGGCCCUAUGGGUUGUAAACUGCUUUUCUACGCCAAGAAACCUGGUUACGAGUAACCAGCUGACGGUAGCGUAGGAAUAAGCAUCGGCUAACUCCGUGCCAGCAGCCGCGGUAAUACGGAGGAUGCAAGCGUUAUCCGGAUUCAUUGGGUUUAAAGGGUGCGCAGGUGGGCUUGUAAGUCAGUGGUGAAAUACUGCCGCUUAACGGUAGAACUGCCAUUGAUACUGCGAGUCUUGAGUAUGGUUGAGGUAGGCGGAAUGUGUUGUGUAGCGGUGAAAUGCAUAGAUAUGACACAGAACGCCGAUUGCGAAGGCAGCUUACUAAGCCAUUACUGACGCUGAGGCACGAAAGCGUGGGGAGCGAACAGGAUUAGAUACCCGGGUAGUC
rnacentral:rRNA from 1 species